rnacentral:rRNA from 1 species
UACGUAGGGGGCUAGCGUUGUCCGGAAUCAUUGGGCGUAAAGAGCGUGUAGGCGGCCCGGUAAGUCCGCUGUGAAAGUCGGGGGCUCAACCCUCGAAUGCCGGUGGAUACUGUCGAACUAGAGUACGGAAGAGGCGAGUGGAAUUCCCGGUGUAGCGGUGAAAUGCGCAGAUAUCGGGAGGAACACCUGAGGCGAAGGCGGGCUACUGGGCUGAUACUGACGCUGAGGCGCGAAAGCUAGGGGAGCAAACGGG